UGCAUGUCUAAGUGCACGCCUUAAUACGGUGAAACCGCGAAUGGCUCAUUAAAUCAGCUAUGGUUUAUUGGAUCGUACCCGUCACAUGGAUAACUGUAAUAACUCUAGAGCUAAUACAUGCCACGAAGCCCUGACCUGUGCCUCACGGUACAGGGAUGGGUGCACUUAUUAGAUCAGAAACCAACCGAGUCAGGGCCGUCCCUCGGGACUGGUCAGGGCUUGUUGUCGUUCUGGUGACUCUGGAUAAUUGUUACAGAUCGCAGUCGGCCUUGCGUCGGCGACGGGUCCUUCAAAUGUCUGCCCUAUCAACUUUCGAUGGUAGGCAAUCUGCCUACCAUGGUGAUAACGGGUAACGGGGAAUCAGGGUUCGAUUCCGGAGAGGGAGCCUGAGAAACGGCUACCACUUCCAAGGGAGGCAGCAGGCGCGCAAAUUACCCACUCCCGGUACGGGGAGGUGGUGACGAAAAAUACCGAUGCGGGACUCUUCAAGAGGCUCCGUAAUCGGAAUGAGUGAACUCUAAAUCCUUUCACGAGGAUCAAUUGGAGGGCAAGUCUGGUGCCAGCAGCCGCGGUAACUCCAGCUCCAAUAGCGUAUAUUAAAGUUGCUGCAGUUAAAAAGCUCGUAGUUGGAUCUCGGUAUCACUGUUGCCCGCCAUUGCUUGGCCAGAUGGGUGCCGGGCGGAGCGGCCGAGUGCCAGUUCUCGCCUUGGUGUCCGACUGUUGUCGAGUUGGUGUGGCGGCGGUGCCACCUUUUAGCCAUGUCUGUGGUGAAAUAUCCACAGGUGUAGGCGAGUGUCGGGCGGUGCCCUGCACCCGUAGGGUCCGUCGGCUCGUCUGCAUGCCUUUGGAUGCCCUUCAAAAGGUGUCUGUGGCGGAUGGCACGUUUACUUUGAACAAAUUUGAGUGCUCAACCAGCCGCUGUAGCCUGAAAAGUUUUGCAU
rnacentral:rRNA from 1 species